GAUGAAGAACGCAGUGAAAUGCGAUAAGUAAUGUGAAUUGCAGAAUUCAGUGAAUCAUCGAAUCUUUGAACGCACAUUGCGCCCCUUGGUAUUCCGAGGGGCAUGCCUGUUCGAGCGUCAUUUUGACCACUCCCGCUUGCGGGGUCUUGGGCCUUCGCCUCUGGGCGGGCCUUAAAAUCAGUGGCGGUGCCGUCCGGCUCUAAGCGUAGUAAAUCUCCUCGCUAUAGGGUUCCGGAGGGAUGCUGGCCAACAACCCCCAAUUUUUUUCAGGUUGACCUCGGAUCAGGUAGGGAUACCCGCUGAACUUAAGCAUAUCAAUAAGCGGAGGA
rnacentral:misc_RNA from 1 species